CAUUGUUUUUCCUUUUGGCCCAUCCAGGGGAGAGAGGAAGAAAAAGUUUUUUCCAGUCAGAAAAACUGCAAUGAACUGAAGUUAAAUCAGAAUCUUCCAUUUUACUAUAUGUUGCAAAUUCAUUGCAAAAGGUGUGAAAGAAGAAGGAAAUUAAGUUGGUAAAUAUUUUGAAGCCAGACUGAAAUAUUUGGCCAAGUUUCUAUAACAGUGGAACUACUUUAAUCAAAGAAAAUCUUACUUAUGUGGCCAAAAAAGAAACUAACAAGUAUUGUACUUAUCGAAAUAGAGUUGAUAAGCUUGGAAGGUGGAUCUCCCUCCCUCUCUAUGCAAUUCUCUGCCUUGGAAAGCACUGCCCUCUACAGAAACCAUUGGAUCUGAAGAGUAUGUAUUGGAAAACCUCUCCUGAAGACCAUAUGAUGAGCAACAAGAAGGUGUACACUAAGAAAGACUGAAAACUCAGAUCUGUGCAAGGAGAUAAUGAAGACUAUGAAAACAAUUAGAAAAUAAGAAAAUGUUUGCACAAAGUCAGAAAGGAAUUGAAAAAGAUUUGAAAGCACAGUAUUUACUUUUUGUUAGUUUAUUAGCAAAGCAAAAUGACACACAUGACACAGGCUUCUUCCAACUUGCUAUGCUGGGUGGACAUGCUUUUCUCAUUAAACAAUGCAAUAAAAAAGGAAAGGAAUAUCAGUUUUUUCAGAUGAAGAAGAAAAAAAUUGGUUGGCAUAUCGGUCUGGAAGUACUUGCAGGAUAUUCCUGGCAGAGAUGUGCCCUUGGCAUUUGAAAUCAUGAUCUCUCUCUCUCUCGCUUACUAUAAUGAAAAAUUUACUUAUACAGCUUUACACUUUUUGAUCACUCUUCCAGUAAACAAUUCUGUCCUUGGGAACAUCUAAUAAUCAAGGAGUUACCUCAUUCACACAGCAGAACAAUCACUGGAAAAUAUAAUAACUAAUUGGGAUUUUUGAAAUUAAAUGUGGUGGUGGUAUUGCUUGUGGAAAGAUACUAAAUGGUUCAUGAUUUUAAUUUUAAUCCUAAAGAAUGACUUUCUAAUAGUCAUAAAUGACUUUCUAUGGAAGAGGUGAUAGACUUACUGUUACCGAAAAUGUUCAGUCUUAACAAGGAUGCCAAUUUGGCAUGCAUGCUUGUCAGGGAUUCAAGUGUCUGUGAAGUGGUUGAUUCCCAAUUUGUAAGUUAUUUUGCAGUUUUCCAAAUCUGUCAGUCUAUGACCCAUCUUGAGUUUUAAGCUGAAAUGUCGACAUAUCAGAAAAAUGAUUACUAUCUGAUUGUUAAGUUUCUGUGGUCUCAAAUUGAACUUUUCCCCAUUGUCUCAGUUUAUCCAUACACCAUCCACCACAAGACAAGUAUGCAGGUAAAUAGCAUACAAAGGAGAUAAAAUUUUCUAGUGCUGCAUUUUAUUUGUCUUCAGGUGACAUUGUAGUUCACCCAAUGGCAGAAUAUGAGACUUCUCUCUAUUUCCCUCCAACCAUCUGACCUACCACAUUCCCUGAAGAUCUUACAGUGUCCACCCCCUACCUAACACUUGUCAUUGACUUCAUUUUUCAGAUAAAAUUUACAAUUCUUAACAUUAAAAGCAAAACUGUAAUCUGAUCUUAGUUGAAAUGGCUUUCAACUCCACAGACAUACACUGCUAACAAACAUACUUGUGUCUUAAAUGUGUUGGUUCUUUUUCUAUACUGAAAAUAUUUCUUCUACUUUCAACACUAGAUCAAGUCUUAAACAUUUUUAUCUAAUGACCUUUUUAUCCCACUUCAAUAUCUAAGAAAUCAUUACAUUGUCACAAAUAUAUAGUAAGUAUCUGUUGACCUCCAGAUAAUGUUACCUCUGAAGCAUCAUUUUAGAAACAAAUGUGAUAUACAUAUGUAAUUUUAAAUUUUCUGGGACUUAUGUUAGGAAAAGGCAAAAAAAA